rnacentral:rRNA from 1 species
UACAGAGGGGCAAGCGUUGUUCGGAAUUACUGGGCGUAAAGGGCGCGUAGGCGGCCUUCUAAGUCGAACGUGAAAUCCCCGGGCUCAACCCGGGAACUGCGUCCGAUACUGGAAGGCUUGAAUCCGGGAGAGGGAUGCGGAAUUCCAGGUGUAGCGGUGAAAUGCGUAGAUAUCUGGAGGAACACCGGUGGCGAAGGCGGCAUCCUGGACCGGUAUUGACGCUGAGGCGCGGAAAGCCAGGG